rnacentral:rRNA from 1 species
GAUGAACGCUAGCUACAGGCUUAACACAUGCAAGUCGAGGGGUAACGAGAGGAAAGCUUGCUUUCCUUGUCGACGACCGGCGCACGGGUGAGUAACGCGUAUCCAACCUGCCCCCAACUAAGGAAUAACCUUGCGAAAGUAAGACUAAUACCUUAUAAUUUCCUCAGAUGACUUCUGACGAGGAAUAAAGAUUUAUCGGUUGUGGAUGGGGAUGCGACUGAUUAGCUUGUUGGCGGGGUAACGGCCCACCAAGGCAACGAUCAGUAGGGGUUCUGCGAGGAAGGGCCCCCACAUUGGAACUGAGACACGGGCCAAACUCGUACCGGAGGCAGCAGUGAGGAAUAUUGGUCCAUGGGCGGAAGCCUGAACCAGCCAAGUAGCGUGCAGGAUGACGGCCCUAUGGGUUGUAAACUGCUUUUAUACAGGAAUAAAGUUAGCCACGUGUGGUUAUUUGUAGGUACUGUAUGAGUAAGGACCGGCUAAUUCCUUGCCAUCCGCCGCAGUAA